rnacentral:lncRNA from 1 species
GCGGGUGAAGGUGUGUGUCAGCUUUUGCGUCACUCGAGCCCUGGGCGCUGCUUGCUAAAGAGCCGAGCACGCGGGUCUGUCAUCAUGUCGCGUUACGGGCGGUACGGAGGAGAAACCAAGGUGUAUGUUGGUAACCUGGGAACUGGCGCUGGCAAAGGAGAGUUAGAAAGGGCUUUCAGUUAUUAUGGUCCUUUAAGAACUGUAUGGAUUGCGAGAAAUCCUCCAGGAUUUGCCUUUGUGGAAUUCGAAGAUCCUAGAGAUGCAGAAGAUGCAGUACGAGGACUGGAUGGAAACCGGCGAAGAAGAAGCAGGUCACGGUCUAGAUCACAUUCUCGAUCCAGAGGAAGGCGAUACUCUCGCUCACGCAGCAGGAGCAGGGGACGAAGGUCAAGGUCAGCAUCUCCUCGACGAUCAAGAUCUAUCUCUCUUCGUAGAUCAAGAUCAGCUUCACUCAGAAGAUCUAGGUCUGGUUCUAUAAAAGGAUCGAGGUAUUUCCAAUCCCCGUCGAGGUCAAGAUCAAGAUCCAGGUCUAUUUCACGACCAAGAAGCAGUCGUUCCCCAUCAGGAAGUCCUCGCAGAAGUGCAAGUCCUGAAAGAAUGGACUGAAGCUCUCAAGUUCACCCUUUAGGGAAAAGUUAUUUUGUUUACAUUAUUAUAAGGGAUUUGUGAUGUCUGUAAAGUGUAACCUAGGAAAGAUAAUUCAACCAUCUAAUCAAAAUGGAUCUGGAUUACUAUGUAAAUUCACAGCAGUAAGAUAAUAUAAAUUUUGUUGAAUGUAUUAACAUCAUAUGGUCUGAAAAUGUGGGUUUUUAUUUGGCACAUUUAAAUAAAAUGUUUCUAACUAG